GGAAGAGACAGCCCCGCACGGCGAGGGCCGGGGCUGCGCGGGGAGAGGUGGGCCUGUGAAGACGAGGGCCGGGCCUGCCCAGGUCUGUAAAGGGACUCAAGGCUUCCUGCCCCUUCUUCCAGGCUCUAAAGAAAAAGCAGUAAGUAGACAGGUGCAAUCCAUCUGAGCGCAGAAACGCUUUGGCAGCAAUGCAGAGCGUAAUCCUGCAGGGAAAAGCCACCAUAUCUACAAAAGCUCUCCAGAAUGAAGAGGAUUCUGCAGUUAACCACGUACCUCUUUAUUGAGAGAACCCGGAUGAACCAGGACGAGCCUCCGGAUGAACCAGUCUGCCGAACCUGUGCGUCAGCUCUGACUUCUGGCCUCCAGAACCGUGAGACAGUACGGUCCUGUGUGCCCCCCAUUUGUGGUACUUUGUUAUGAAGCCCUUGAAAACGAAUGCUGAGAUGUCAAGGAAACGCCUGAAGAUUAAAACGCCCCAAGAACCAGCUAUCAGGCUGGGCCUCUGACUCCCGCGCAAGGUCACCUCCUUGCUGAGGCAGAAAGGCGCCCCCACCGCGGCGGCAGCCUCCGUGUGGAGUCGCGGCUGCCCGAAGCCCUUCAACAGGACACAAAGCGACGUCCUGAAUGUUGGAAGGAAAACUACCGACAGGGAAGGCGACGCAUCGGAGGCUGCGCGCCAAGGGUCAUUGCCGGGUGGAAAUGAUCAAACGAGGAGAAGGAAGGAAAACUUGGCACCUGCCAAAGACGGCAACUCAAGCUCCCGUUCCCUUGUGAGUGAUUUGGUAGCUUGCAUAACGAAGCCACCACCAGGCAGAACCAUCCAGCUCAAGGCUCCGCGUUUGACCUUGGAUCUGCUCCGUGGUCCUGGAUUACAGGCUCUACAUGAGAAGGCACUUUGUAAUACUUCUGGAAUUGGCUUCAAGGUCGGGGUGCCCCGUGUUCAUUGUCAUUCUUUCGUUCGUAUGUUUUUUUGAGCGCCUAGGAUAGGCUAUGCACUUGGCUGUGGCUAAAUUUUGGGUGAAGAUUUAGAAGUUAGCUCUUUGGGCAGAGAUGAAAGGCAGGGCCCUGCAGUUAUGGACGCUCUGGCCCAGUUAAAAUUAAGGUGUCCGCGGGGUGUGCCUCCAGGGCAGGCUUGGGGAGAACCCUUUGUCUUGCCUUUUCCAGCCGCUAGAGGACGCUCCUGGGUCUCCCUCCAUCUUCAAAGGCAGGAGUGGCUGGUCCAAGCCUUUCCUCUGAUGCCAUUUCCCUGCAUCUGAUGCCUCUGCCUCUGCUUCCCUGACUAAAGACCCUGGUAAUUACACUGGGCCCUCCCUUAGGUCAAGGCCAUCUGCCUGGCAACCCUAAUUCUUCCCUGACACAAACCACAACAGACUCCCAGGCUCCGGAGACCAGGAAGUGGCACGUUUGGGGCCAUUAUGCUGCUUAAGGCAAUGCUAGAAUCAGUCACUUCCUGAAUUAUGCGAUGCCAGGGGUCUUCACAAAGAAAACAUUCAGUUGUUAAAAUUCACGUCUUUCGAAUCUGUUGUUGAGGGUUUAGAAUAAAAUUGUCUGGUUUCUAUUCCUAAAAAGAAGCAGUUUGUUGCUAUCCAUUCACUUUUUCCCCCUCCUCUUACCCCCCAAGCUUCUUUCUUGACUUUUAUUUACUGGUAAAAUCAUUGCAUGGAACGAAGGUGAAGUUUGUUCCAGAUUGUUGGUUUUUUCCAGGAAACAUUCUACAAUGGUCUAGCGUAUUUGUACAAAGGAGGAGUUUUAACAUCCAGAGAGGAAAAAAAUGAUCGUGAUUGAAUUUGCACCGAUCACUUUUUGGAGCUUUGAAACAGAUACGUGUCCUUUGGAGAAAGAAUAAACAGGAACAUAUAGAAGCAGACGGGGGUAGAAAUACCCCUGACGCCAUUUACACGGCUCUUUUAUGUAUUCUUCUUCCGGCAGUGAAAUAAAUAUCCAUUAGUGAAAUGGCCUUUUAGUGGAAACAAGCCAGAGGCAAUAGCAUAUUUAUACAAUAAAAAGCUCAAUGGGGGAAAAGCCACUUUUAAUUCCUUCUCCGUUGGUCCUGUUUUAAAUUCAGAGGCCAAUCGAUGGACUGAUUUCAACAUAUCUCAACAUACUGAUCAUUAAGAUUACUUUUGUAUCAAUACUAUCAAUAACGUCAUCAAUACUACCAAUCCGGGCAGCGAUGUGACCAAAUGUCAAGUAAUACAUCACGUUUGGGGAAUAUUGACACUAUUCCCGAAAUGGGAAGCACGGGGCUGG